AUUGAACGCUGGCGGCAGGCCUAACACAUGCAAGUCGAACGGUAACAGGAAACAGCUUGCUGUUUCGCUGACGAGUGGCGGACGGGUGAGUAAUGUCUGGGAAACUGCCUGAUGGAGGGGGAUAACUACUGGAAACGGUAGCUAAUACCGCAUAACGUCGCAAUACCAAAGAGGGGGACCUUCGGGCCUCUUGCCAUCGGAUGUGCCCAGAUGGGAUUAGCUAGUAGGUGGGGUAACGGCUCACCUAGGCGACGAUCCCUAGCUGGUCUGAGAGGAUGACCAGCCACACUGGAACUGAGACACGGUCCAGACUCCUACGGGAGGCAGCAGUGGGGAAUAUUGCACAAUGGGCGCAAGCCUGAUGCAGCCAUGCAGCGUGUAUGAAGAAGGCCUUCGGGUUGUAAAGUACUUUCAGCGGGGAGGAAGGGAGUAAAGUUAAUACCUUUACUCAUUGACGUUACCCGCAGAAGAAGCACCGGCUAACUCCGUG
rnacentral:rRNA from 1 species